rnacentral:lncRNA from 1 species
AUUAAGUAACCAUCUCUCAAUUAUUUGUCUUAGAUACCAAUAGGUCGAUUAGUUCAAAUAGGUUAGCUUAGGCAAAUUAGGCUCAAACCACAGAGUCGAAUUAGGUCCUUAGAUUAAUUGAUUCUAGAUAUGGGUGUUAAUCAACUCGAUCUACAAUAAUUGUAUGAUCUUAAACUCUAUUAACCUAAUCCUAAUCAAUACUUGAUUCGAUUUGAUCAACUGCUAAAUCGAUUU